CGCUGGCGGCAGGCUAACACAUGCAAGUCGAACGGUAACAGAAGCAGCUUGCUGCUUUGCUGACGAGUGGCGGACGGGUGAGUAAUGUCUGGGAAACUGCCUGAUGGAGGGGGAUAACUACUGGAAACGGUAGCUAAUACCGCAUAACGUCGCAAGACCAAAGAGGGGGACCUUCGGGCCUCUUGCCAUCGGAUGUGCCCAGAUGGGAUUAGCUAGUAGGUGGGGUAAAGGCUCACCUAGGCGACGAUCCCUAGCUGGUCUGAGAGGAUGACCAGCCACACUGGAACUGAGACACGGUCCAGACUCCUACGGGAGGCAGCAGUGGGGAAUAUUGCACAAUGGGCGCAAGCCUGAUGCAGCCAUGCCGCGUGUAUGAAGAAGGCCUUCGGGUUGUAAAGUACUUUCAGCGGGGAGGAAGGGAGUAAAGUUAAUACCUUUGCUCAUUGACGUUACCCGCAGAAGAAGCACCGGCUAACUCCGUGCCAGCAGCCGCGGUAAUACGGAGGGUGCAAGCGUUAAUCGGAAUUACUGGGCGUAAAGCGCACGCAGGCGGUUUGUUAAGUCAGAUGUGAAAUCCCC
rnacentral:rRNA from 1 species